rnacentral:lncRNA from 12 species
AUGCACCCGGGCCUAGGCCGGGGCGGUUCGAACACAGAACCCCGGGACUUUCUAGUAAACAGCUCGCCUAGCCCUGGUCCCCACCCCCAUCCCCGCCGCCUGGCUUUCGCAGAUGCCCCUCGCGGACAUCCCCCCCCUUCACCCCUCCUAAGAAAUCCCGGCGGAGAAGGGCGCUGGAGGUGGGGACCCCGAGAGGUCGGGGGCUGGGGGCUGGGGCGCCGGGGUGGGGGGGAGGGGAGGGGAGCAGAGGAUCGAGAUGGGCAGUGGGAGGCAGACAGCUCCCGAAAAAGAAUUUGCUUUCGCUCUGGGGUAGAAAAUACGCCCUCCUCGGGUUCCCGAUCGCCCGGGAAGCGCCGGCUCGUGCGAACGUCAGGAGCACCGGGGCAGCGCGGUCCGCAGCCGCCGAGCCCCCCGCACGCGCCUCUGACAAGGCACCUCUCACCCGGGCUCCGCUUUGUGUGUGCAUUUUUUUUUUUUUUCCUCCCUUCCUCUCGCGCGCGGCACCGGGCGCCCGGCCGCCUCCUCCCCCUCCCCCGCCCUCCGCCUCCCUUCCCGGGGCGGAUUACCUUUCCCCGGCUGCGCUCCGGGUCCCGGGGAUGCCUUCAGCGCCCAGCGAGCAGCCGAUCCAUCGCGGAGCGGCCCGAGCCGGCGGGAGGCGGGCGGGGGGCGCGCGGGGGCGCGCGGGGGCGGCGAGGGGCGCGGGCGGGCCAGAACCUUCGACCCCGGAGGUCCCGCCGCGGGCUGGGGCGGAGGGGGGGGGGCGCGGCCCGGGAGGGAGGCGGGGGCGGGGGCGGGGGUGGGGGGGAGAAAGGACCCGAGCAGCCGGGAUCUUGGGAGAGAGCGAGCGAGGGGGCGAGGAGAGGGAGCGAGGGCGCGGCGAGCCGGAGGGAGCGCGAGCGGUGCAGUGACAGGGACUGCCACUGGGGUCAAAGGAGCACAGCUCCAGGAAGCAGGGCGGCAGAGGCGCCGCUCCGUGCGCGCUCCCCGGCGGGACCCCGCGCCCCCGCGCGCCCCUCCUGCAGCCCGGGCCCGCUCGAACCCCCACCGGCGCCCCGAGGCCCCGGGGUUGCAGGAGGAGGAGGGAGCGGAGGGCGAGGCCGGCAGCCUGCUGGUGCUCUCGGGUCAAGCAGGCAGCAGGAAGCUGAGCCGCAAGUUCAUCACCAGGACUGUGGUCGGCGUAAAAAUGAUAGGGCACUGGGCAGGGGGGCGGCUACGGAGCCCCAGAAAAAAAAAUAA